ACCAGUGUGGCAUAGUGGUUUGAGUGUUGGACUACAACUCCAGAGACCAGGGUUUGAUUUCCAGCUCAGCUG
rnacentral:tRNA from 1 species